UGUGCCAGCCGCCGCGGUAAUACGUAGGGGGCGAGCGUUAUCCGGAUUCAUUGGGCGUAAAGCGCGCGUAGGCGGCCGGGCAGGCGGGGCGUCAAAUGGCGGGGCUCAACCCCGUCCCGCGCCCCGAACCGCCCGGCUCGGGUCCGGCAGGGGAGGGUGGAACGCCCGGUGUAGCGGUGGAAUGCGCAGAUAUCGGGCGGAACACCGGUGGCGAAGGCGGCCCUCUGGGCCGGCACCGACGCUGAGGCGCGAAAGCUGGGGGAGCGAACAGGAUUAGAUACCCUGGUAGUCCCAGCCGUAAACGAUGGACGCUAGGUGUGGGGGGACGGACCCCCCGUGCCGCAGCCAACGCAUUAAGCGUCCCGCCUGGGGAGUACGGCCGCAAGGCUAAAACUCAAAGGAAUUGACGGGGGCCCGCACAAGCAGCGGAGCAUGUGGCUUAAUUCGAAGCAACGCGAAGAACCUUACCUGCGCUUGACAUGACCGUGAAGCCGCGGAGACGCGGUGGCCGAGAGGAGCGGUCACAGGUGGUGCGUGGCUGUCGUCAGCUCGUGUCGUGAGAUGUUGGGUUAAGUCCCGCAACGAGCGCAACCCCCGCCGCGUGUUGCCAUCGGGUGAUGCCGGGAACCCACGCGGGACCGCCGCCGCCAAGGCGGAGGAGGGCGGGGACGACGUCAAGUCAUCAUGCCCCUUAUGCGCAGGGCUGCACACGUGCUACAAUGGCCGGUACAGAGGGAGGCGACCCCGCGAGGGGGAGCGGAUCCCGAAAGCCGGCCCCAGUUCGGAUCGGGGGCUGCACCCGCCCCCGUGAAGUCCGAGUUGCUAGUAAUCGCGGAUCAGCAUGCCGCG
rnacentral:rRNA from 1 species